rnacentral:rRNA from 1 species
CCUACGGGUGGCAGCAGUGGGGAAUAUUGCCCAAUGGGGGAAACCCUGAUGCAGCGACGCCGCGUGAGCGAUGAAGUAUUUCGGUAUGUAAAGCUCUAUCAGCAGGGAAGAAAAUGACGGUACCUGACUAAGAAGCCCCGGCUAACUACGUGCCAGCAGCCGCGGUAAUACGGAGGGGGCCAGCGUUAUCCGGAUUUACUGGGUGUAAAGGGGGCGUAGACGGUUCUGCAAGCCCGACGUGAAAGCCUGGGGCUCAACCCCGGGACUGCAUUUGAAACUGUAAGGCUAGAGUGGCGGAGAGGCAGGCGGAAUUCCUAGUGUAGCGGUGAAAUGCGUAGAUAUUAGGCGGAACACCAGUGGCGAAGGCGGCCUGCUGGACGAAGACUGACGUUGAGGCUCGAAAGCGUGGGGAGCAAACAGGAUUAGAUACCCGAGUAGUC